rnacentral:rRNA from 10 species
GAUUAAAAAAAAAAAGGCACGCCUGAUCUCGGAAGCUAAGCAGGGUCGGGCCUGGUUAGUACUUGGAUGGGUGACCGCCUGGGAAUACCAGGUGCUGUAAGCA